GAGGACUGGCGCGAAGGUGCAGAUAGGAAAAGUGACUGUGAGGAGGCACCUUCACCACAGCUUACUGUGGAUUUUGCAAAUAAUUCCAACAGUGCCAAAGACAUAGACAGGACCACCCAGCUCCAAGACCUCAGCCUGCAGGACACUGCCCUGGGUGCUGCUCAUCCUACACCUCCAGGGCACAGUCCACUGUGGUGUUGCAGCUCCCACCCUGCUGCAUCUGUGUUAUAGAUAAGGAUGACUGCAGUAAAUUUGUAAGUCUACAUCAUGCCCACAGCCUUAAGAGGAAGUGUCAACAGGAACAAGAGAUUGGUUUGAAGCAGUUACUUUUUCGAAGUUUGUCUAGUGAAGGUGAUACAAAAUAUGAGACCAUAAUUAAAAGUGAAGAUAAGAUGUUUUAAAAAUUCACAAGAGAACUGCUGCUUUUCAUGAGUAGAUUUUGAGGUAUUUCUGGAGUGUAGAGACACUCUGCCCCUAAUCAGAAGUCACUGAGCUUUCAACCUGCAUCAGCUGCAGAGGCUGAAGAACAUUUGUGUUUCAGUUUAUGACAGCUCUGGUCAGCAUGCUCACAAGUGCUGAUUUAGAUCUUUUUAAGGAAUUUAAAAAAUUCUGGUUCACACAUGUGAGAAGAGAUGCUGGCCUCAAAAUCAUCAUUUAGUUACACAAUAAGAUCCAGAUGAAUUAUUAUUUAAG
rnacentral:lncRNA from 1 species